AGAAAUGGCUCAGAGUGUGGGAUCACCACGAGCUCUUCGGAAUCGACAUCAAGAGAUUUCGGAAGCACAAUUUUUGCAAGCCAGGGCUGCUGGUGCCCAUUGUUUCCUGGAGCCCCA